rnacentral:rRNA from 1 species
CCUACGGGGGGCAGCAGUGAGGAAUAUUGGUCAAUGGACGAGAGUCUGAACCAGCCAAGUAGCGUGAAGGAUGACUGCCCUAUGGGUUGUAAACUUCUUUUAUAUGGGAAUAAAAUGUUCCACGUGUGGGAUUUUGUAUGUACCAUAUGAAUAAGGAUCGGCUAACUCCGUGCCAGCAGCCGCGGUAAUACGGAGGAUCCGAGCGUUAUCUGGAUUUAUUGGGUUUAAAGGGAGCGUAGGUGGAUUGUUAAGUCAGUUGUGAAAGUUUGCGGCUCAACCGUAAAAUUGCAGUUGAAACUGGCAGUCUUGAGUACAGUAGAGGUGGGCGGAAGUCGUGGUGUAGCGGUGAAAUGCUUAGAUAUCACGAAGAACUCCGAUUGCGAAGGCAGUUCACUGGACUGCAACUGACACUGAGGCUCGAAAGUGUGGGUAUCAAACAGGAUUAGAUACCCCGGUAGUC